UACGUAGGCGGCAAGCGUUGUCCGGAAUUAUUGGGCGUAAAGCGCGCGCAGGCGGUCCUUUAAGUCUGAUGUGAAAGCCCACGGCUCAACCGUGGAAGGUCAUUGGAAACUGGAGGACUUGAGUACAGAAGAGGAAAGCGGAAUUCCACGUGUAGCGGUGAAAUGCGUAGAGAUGUGGAGGAACACCAGUGGCGAAGGCGGCUUUCUGGUCUGUAACUGACGCUGAGGCGCGAAAGCGUGGGGAGCAAACAGG
rnacentral:rRNA from 1 species